rnacentral:rRNA from 1 species
CAGUAGCCGCGGUAAUACAGAGGGUGCGAGCGUUAAUCGGAUUUACUGGGCGUAAAGCGUGCGUAGGCGGCUUCUUAAGUCGGAUGUGAAAUCCCUGAGCUUAACUUAGGAAUUGCAUUCGAUACUGGGAAGCUAGAGUAUGGGAGAGGAUGGUAGAAUUCCAGGUGUAGCGGUGAAAUGCGUAGAGAUCUGGAGGAAUACCGAUGGCGAAGGCAGCCAUCUGGCCUAAUACUAACGCUGAGGUACGAAAGCAUGGGGAGCAAACAGGAUUAGAUACCCCGGUAGUCCCUGUCUCUUAUAC